rnacentral:rRNA from 1 species
CCUACGGGAGACAGCAGUGGGGAAUAUUGCACAAUGGGGGGAACCCUGAUGCAGCGACGCCGCGUGGGUGAUGAAGUACUUCGGUAUGUAAAGCCCUAUCAGCAGGGAAGAAAAUGACGGUACCUGACUAAGAAGCCCCGGCUAACCACGUGCCAGCAGCCGCGGUAAUCCGUAGGGGGCAAGCGUUAUCCGGAUUUACUGGGUGUAAAGGGGGCGUAGACGGCGUGCCAAGUCUGGUGUGAAAGGCAGGGGCUCAACCCCGGGACUGCAUUGGAAACUGGCAUGCUGGAGUGCCGGAGGGGCAAGCGGAAUGCCUAGUGUAGCGGUGAAAUGCGUAGAUAUUAGGAGGAACACCGGUGGCGAAGGCGGCUUGCUGGACGGUAACUGACGUUGAGGCUCGAAAGCGUGGGGAGCAAACAGGAUUAGAUACCCUGGUAGUC